GAUGAACGCUGGCGGCGUGCCUAAUACAUGCAAGUCGAGCGAACAGACGAGGAGCUUGCUCCUCUGACGUUAGCGGCGGACGGGUGAGUAACACGUGGAUAACCUACCUAUAAGACUGGGAUAACUUCGGGAAACCGGAGCUAAUACCGGAUAAUAUAUUGAACCGCAUGGUUCAAUAGUGAAAGACGGUUUUGCUGUCACUUAUAGAUGGAUCCGCUCCGCAUUAGCUAGUUGGUAAGGUAACGGCUUACCAAGGCAACGAUGCGUAGCCGACCUGAGAGGGGGAUCGGCCACACUGGAACUGAGACACGGUCCAGACUCCUACGGGAGGCAGCAGUAGGGAAUCUUCCGCAAUGGGCGAAAGCUUGACGGAGCAACGCCGCGUGAGUGAUGAAGGUCUUCGGAUCGUAAAACUCUGUUAUUAGGGAAGAACAAAUGUGUAAGUAACUAUGCACGUCUUGACGGUACCUAAUCAGAAAGCCACGGCUAACUACGUG
rnacentral:rRNA from 1 species